AAGACUAUACUUUCAGGGAUCAUUUCUGUAGUUUCUGACUUGAGAAAUGUGUUUCUAAAGUGUUUGGUCUCGCUAACCACGAUGAUGAGUUGUGAUAUUCCCUUGUGAGCGUGAAGCUGACAGAAAUUGUUCAGUUUAUAUGUUCUUUGUUGUUGAUGAUUGUUCUGUACUUCUUCAUGAAGUACUGAAGAAGGGGAUAUGAUCAGAGUGGU